GGAAGUUUGCCCACAACUGUUAAAUUACUUUAGCCUCCACUACAAGAUGACUGGUUACUGAAAAUAAUCCCAGGGAAUGGUGCACAGGAGUCAUUCAAGAGAUUCUAGGAACAAAUUAACAUAAUGAAAUGUUGAUGACAUAUGUGGGCCUGGAUGGAAGAGCUAAGUUAUCGAGUGACAUCUUGUUCUGCGUGUUUCUCUCAAAAACAUAAAUAUAAAGUGUCCCGUUGGACCCGCAUAAGUUUUUGCAUCUAUAGCAUCAUUUGGGAAGGCACUUCACAGGUCCAAUGAUCACGGCAUAAGGAACAAGGUGUUUUUCGUUUGGCCCAUCUCCUAGAGGAUAUGAGUCUCUUUUCAGUGUAUACCUGAGGAACAAGUAUCUCCUGAUGAGUUGCCUGGUUUUAUGUGAAUUCCUUUGCUCACAUGCCCUGCUGACAUACUGAGGAAGGUUUUUUGAAGUAUGUUUCUCAGAUAAACUCAGGGAUUAUACCCCAGGAAUGUACCACAGGGAAGAUAAAACUAUCAUGAGGAAAGGAACAUUUCAGAUGGAACUGCAGAAACUGCUAGAUGAGCUUUCUAAGCCAAGUAACCAUAUUCAGUGCAAUGGAAGGAAGAGGACUGGAUCACAUCACUGGGGGAAAAGCAGCCUUUUAGUAUCUAAAGGGGAACUAUAAGAAGGGGACAGACUCUUCAGCAGGAUCUGUUAUUACAGAACAAAGGGAAAUGGUUUCAAACUAAAAGAUGGGAGAUUUACACUCAGGAUGAGGAAAAAUGUUUUUGUGAUAAAGGUACUGAAGCACUGGCACAACUUGCCCAGAGAUAUGAUGGAUGUCCUUUACCUGGAUACACUCAAGGUCAGGUGGACAGAGCUCUGAGCACCUGAUUGACCUAUAGGUGCCCCUGUUCGCUGCAGGGGAGUUGGACUAGAUGACCUUUAAAAGACUCUUCCAACUCAAUUCUAUUAUUCUGUGACUAUGAAGAGAGUGGAAGGCAUUGCGUGCUUCAAUAUCCAGCUGAUUAAAACGUCUUUCAUAAUAGCAUAGAUUUAAAUUCACCUAGCCAGUCAUGAAAUUUAAAUGAGGAAAGCAAGUGCAAUUAGGAACAAAACAAAUCUUUGUUUUGAAUUAUAAAAAAAAAAAAAAAUAGAUUGGGUUUUUGCAUUCUUCUUUCCACAUGCCAAUAUACUAGUCAGUGCGAAUAAGUAGACCUGUCAUCUGUUAGAUGAAAUCUUAUUUGCUUCAGGAACUUUGAACUCUACUGUCCAGUCUCAGUGUUACUUCAAACACUGAUAAAAAUGGAGCCCUCUAGAUAAUCCCCACAAUCCUGAAGUGCUCACCACUGAAGACCACACAGACUCACACAUCAAAUACUUCUUCAGCUGACUUCAUUGUAAACUGGAUAUGUUUUAAGAUGCUAACCUAAAACCUUGGAUAAAAUUCUUUCUCUUUUUGUUUGGAGAUAAGAUUUUAAAAAGACUAUAUUUUCUGGGAGAGUAGUUUAAUCAUAAAAUUCAGAACUACUCUGGAACGGAUUUCUUCUGUAUAUCACCAAUAAGACUAUAAAGCAGGUGUGACAAUAUCCUCUAAUAUUUUCUGGUUUGUGCAUAGAAAACGUGAAGUAUCACAUUUUGAAAAUAGUCAUGUAAAAAGAAUUGGAGCCAGAGUCUUUGACUAUGAUUAUAUUAGUAGAGUGAACAAAGUCGGGACUGUGACCGAAGCAGUGUUAUCCAUAGGAUGAAACUAUUAUUUUUUCCCUGGUACACUUCUCAAUAGCGUAGGGUAGAAGUAGAGUAGAGUAGUGUAGAACAGAGUAGAGUAGUGUAGAAUAGAGUAGAAUUGAAUAGUUUCAGGUGGAAGAAACCAAUAAACAUCACUGAGUUCAACAGCUCUACCUGCCUAGUAACAACCACACACCAAAAAGCAGCCCCAAGCAAUGGUUUGAAUUCAGCCAUCCUGCUCUGUAGAACUAUUUAUUAGCGUAUAUGGGGCCAGGCUAUGUCAUCUGGCUUCUAGGCCAAGAAAUGGUCCUAGAUACUUUUUACACACAUUCUGUUCACAUAGAUGUGAGACACCAAGUUAAAGGUAUUGAGUAGUUUCAAAAAAUUAUUCCCUCUAAUAUUUGUUAGUCUACAUUGUAAUUUUAGAUUUCCUAAACCAAUUUCCUAUGAAAUUCGAUUCAGAAAUACAAGGUUUAAAGACAUAUAUUUGUUAACUACACUUCUUUUCAAUGUUAAAAUUACGGCAACGUUUGUUCAGUAAUGGCUUCCACUUUUUAAGUGGAAAUUCACAUUUAACAUAGAUUAUUAAACCUUCUGUUAACUUUCUAUUAAAAUUAAAUUUUAGUUUAGAUUCUGAUGCAAUCCACCAUCAAGUAUAUAAGGCAGAUAAUUUUAAUGUUCUUUUACUUUGUAAAGAGCUGCUUGUGUUGUUCUUCAUAUCUACUAUUUUCUACAUCUUUUCUGUUUUUCAGUUACUGUUCAUCACAAGCUCAAGCUUAGUGGUAAUUUUUAUACUCCAUUCUAUGGAGAGGAAAAUAUUUCAGAUGAGCAUGGGUUCUGGAGUAACAAAGCACAGUGUUUAGAAAUCCUACCACUUAAGUAAUAAUCAUUCAGUGAAAUAUAUUAAGGACUUCUGGUGAAUAUCAGUUUUAGGGGGUUUUACUUCCUUCAUGCUUUCAACCUCUUCCUUUGUACUGUAAAACACCCUCUAGUAAUUACAGGUAGAAUGAACGAGUCUGUUAAAGAUGACAUUUGUCGCAAUAACACUUUGUUUAUAUCAUUUUCAUUCCUGGCCCUCAAAUACAAAUCAGUAUUGAAAGUUUAUAAUUACAGUGUUAACAUUUUUUGUUUGUAAAGUAAGCUAAACAUUUAGUAAACUUGUAUUGCAUCACAUCUUUCUUGACUGUAAUGAAUCAGAGAUUUUUAUCUGGCUAUGAUACACUUGGUUUCUAAAUACCUCUGUUCUUCUAAGUAAAGCAUGUCUGUGAAGUUCUACCUUACCUCUCUUCUAAAAAUUUCGGAUCUAAGAGUUUGUUGUAUUUAUUCUGUUUUGUUUCUGUUCUACACAAUUUCUGUGUAGUAUGCUCAGAUUUCUGCAGCAUUCAUAGAGUGGAAAGUCAUUGGAUAUACUAGGAUUUAAUCCACUCCGGGCAGUCACAGAGAGUUUAAAAAAAAAAAAAAAAAAAAAAAAAAAGCUUUCUAUUUGAAAACAUUUUCAUCCAUUGCAGUUAGCCUGAUCCCUAUGGGAAAAACAGAGACCCAGUUUUGUCCUGAUUAAUACAAACAGAAUUCCCAGUGACUUCAAUGGGAGUUUUGCCUGAAAAAGGCACAGAGAAGGCCCUAUAAACUCUCAAGAAUAUCCCCCUGCUUUCCUGUGGAAUAAUCUGAUCUCUGUAGCUUACCAAGUGCUUAUAUUGUAACAGCGUAUUGAAGUGCUUUGCAAAUUAUCACAUUCAUAUGCAGAGCUUUGGGGUUUUUCAUAGAACUUGGAGUUCUUUGGGAAUCAAACAUAUUAAAAUCUACCACAUGCCCUGGGUGGUUCUACACUCCUCUGUACAGAGUUAACAGCUCUGAACAUUGAUUCUGUAUUAAUGAAUAUAACAUCUCCUUUCCCAUGUCUUUACUACUAACAUCUUCAGUUGGUAACAAUAAGUGGAUAUCUUGGGUUCAGAGAAUAGUAAAUGUAGCAUAGAAAAACAAACAAUUUCCAGGAAUGUAUUUUCUCUGUGGUUAAAAUAUGUUAUACUAUUCCACAUUAUUGAGCUAUUUAGUGCUUGGAGAUGAAAAAAAGAGACAUCUGAAUGAGAAAGCCAACUUUGGCAGGAGCACUACUGCUGGUUUAAAGGAAUGAAAAACAGAAGUUAAAAAAAAAAAAAAGAGAGAGAGAAGAAAGAGAUCAGAAAACAUGUUUUUCAAGUAUGUAUCUGAAGAAGGGUAGAUUGUGGAGAAGUUUAAAAACAGAAGUUAAAACAGAAAGGGUAAAAAAAAUGGGUGCUGUCUUUUUUUUAAAGAUGGAGUGCAACUGGAAACAGCAUGCAGCCAAAGGUCAGGGUCAAGAGUAAUAGAAUCCUGGCACUAUGUGCUAGUUUAUCUUCUACAAAAUGAACUCCUGCCAAACCAUAUACACAAUGUCGUACAGCAGGGAAAAGUGUCUGAUGCAUCUCCAGAGUAUUUAUGAGGGCUUCUGUUUUGAAGAUAGUUUCUUAGGUAACAGAAUAAUAACAUAAUGGGACUAUUUCUCAUUUAUCAAAAUUUUUUUUAUUAUUAUUAUUUUUAUUUUAUUUUUUCGUUUUUGGCUUAUUUUUCAAAUUAAGCUGUGAUAACCGAUUCCCCUUUUCUGGAUUCACUCUUCCCAUAUUAAGAGGAAUGUUUUAUUUUAUUUUUGGAUUUCUAUUAAGAGAAAGAUUUCUGUGGUGGCCUCAUAGGCACUCAUUAAAAUAAAACUAAGUCUUUCUCAUCACCUUAGGAAAUAAAUAGUUGAGUUGGAAUGAUAUUCAUUUGCAACAUUUAAAGGAGAUGAAAGAAGGUCUUGACUAAAUUGUUGCUUCUUGGAUUGUGUGCCUUCCUGUCUCAUGUCUUAUGCUUUAUUUCUUUUAGGAUGGUAGUAUAUUUAUAUACUGCUUGCAAAGCCUUCCCCUCCCAGUCUACAGUCAGAGCAGAAUCCAGUAGCUUUUUUUCUGCAUUCCCCCUUAUUUCACAAAUGUAUAAGUAUUCCAAAAUUAGUUUUAGAAAACAGUUUAUCUAAUGCAUAUCACCAAGUCUUGCAGGUGUACAGCAUGAAAUGAAAGAAGACAAUACGUCAGAUUCUGAUCCAGAAGUGUGAGCAAAAUAUCUUCAUUAAUGGAAUGUGGAUUAAACUCUCAGCAGCUGCUCUGUAAUAUUUAUAUUUCAACCUCUCAUGAACUUUUAUUAAGGGACAAGUGAGAUCACAUUAACUGCAGCAAAACAAAAUCCACAUAGUCACUUACCUCAGAGUAACCUAUGCCUAAUUUUCUAGCUCUGGGCUGGCUUCCCUCCAAGUAACUUACUUAUUCAUGUGGUCAUAAACAUUACUUGACAAUUAAGAGAGCACACAAGAUGAGAUGCUACCUGUUUCAAAGUUUUGAGUUUAACAGGAGGGCUCAAUAUGUUUAAUUUUUUAUAACAAUUUAUACAAAGAAGAUAAAAACAGGCCUUGUUCACCCUAGUAAAUUAAUUGUUUUAGUGAAACCAUUUAUCUGAUAAAGAAACAUGUUUAUAAGGGACACAGGUCUCCCUAGAGAGCCGAAAGAGAACUAUAAGAACCAAAAUUUUGGUACAGCUCCCUCUGGUCCAAAACUAAAGUUGAAAUCCCAGGUGUGAGUUUUAGGGUACUGAAAAGUGAGAAAGUAGAUGAACUUCAAGAAGUCAGUAAGGAGCAUGGGGUUCAACAUUUUACAUUAAUGAGUCAAGGAGCAUGGAAAGCAUCAGAGCACAAAGCAGAAGAGUUGAAUUAAAAGCCAGGACCGUGUUGUUGUUAAAAGGGGUCAGUUUGGGAGAACAAAUCUGGCUCCUCUCCCUUACGGAAACAAUUUCCAGAAUUGUCCUGUGAUUUGUAAAAGUUGAGAUCACAGGCAGCAGCAUCAAAGCAGACAAGUGACUGUAAAGCAGUAUAAUGUAGUGCUACAUUAGGAGUACAACUGAAGGUCCUAAGAGUCUGUCUUGAGCUUGUCUUUCUUGAGAUGUUGGCUCUAUCUCAAAGCUAACCCUAGAGACUCACAGCCCUUGUCAAAACUUUAUCAGACUCAAUCCACUCUUUGAGUUCUUAAUCCCAUAGAACCACUUGAAUACUGUAAAUUAUCCAGUGGGUCAGAUCCUUGCUAAACCACCUUCAGGUGCAUUAUUCCUAGGACUAUUUUUCUUAGGGCUAUAGGCUAGUUACAAUUUAGUUUGUUAGAAAGUAGUAUUGAAUUCUGAGCAGCAUUACUGGUAUCUGAACAUAUGCCAUGGGAAAGGGUAACCAAAGGAUUCCUCAUAAAUACAAUAUCAUGCAGUGGUGCUGCCCCUAACAACAAAAAUGACAAGCUUCCUGUUUAUCCCUUUUCAAGUAAAAGGCCAGGUACUGCAGAAUUUGUGCUUUCAUUAAAUGAUAUUCUCCUUUUUUUUUUUUUUCAUCUAAGCUCUUUUGAAAAAAGGCAUUUUCAGACUCAUGUCCUGCAUGUUAAUAUAUUUUUCCCUACUUUAAGAUUUGCUGGCUUUUUGAAAUGUUCUGCUGUUUCUUCAUCUUGAAAGGUACUCAAUUCUUUCCUUCCACAAUAUGACUUUGUAUUGGUGACUGUAUUGGAAAAGCAAUGAUUCUUACUUAAAAUUAUUAUUAUCCUGCUUGUAGCCUAAAGUUUUAUAUCUACAUGCAUGUCCAUAACGAGCGGCUCAGACAAAACUUGGGACCUGCACACACUGAGUUUUGCUCAGAACCUCAAGCCUACUGUUUUUGAUAUGAUAUUAAACUACAGCAAAUUCAGCAUUCUUUAAGCUGAAGUCAGAUUGUACUAAUAAUGGAAUAUAGAUUGACAUUAAAUGGAAAUGUUAUUGGCUUUACAUACAAACCAAAAUAUAAUAUUUCUUUGGCUACGAAGUACUACUGCUGAAUACAAGUGAGGGUUAAUCUUGUUAGCUGCUGUAAAAGCCUGUAUCCAAAAUGUGCACAGCAUAAUGCUGGCUAUAAUUAUUACACUGUGUGGAGAGAUCAGUCAACUUUAUUCCUAGCAAUUCACUAACUUUUCUUUUGUGUAAACUUGGCACAGAAAGGCUUUUGCUAUUGAACUAAAUAAAACCCUCAGCACAUGGCCAUGGCCCAAGGGGACACUUUAUCAUUUGUAUAUAGAAAGACAUUUGAUUAUGGCUUAAUUAUACAGUAUGCUGCUAUUUAUUUUCAAUCAGUCUGCAAACUCCAUAAUUGUGGAUUAUUUACUGAUGAACUACUUACAAUCCAUUAUUCUAUUAUGUUAAUGUAUUCAAAUCCAAAACUACACAAAUGUUUAAUAACCUAGUUUAGACCAGUUGGGCUCUUAUUGGUCUUCAAGAAGAAAAAUAAGUAGAAACUGACAAUUUGGUAAAUCAGAGUUACACAACAGUGAAAAUAAACUUUGUUUGGUUUUAUUUUUUAGGUUUCUAAAAAUUGUGUUUAAUUUAUCAUAUCAUUAUUAUUUGCUACUGUACUUCUGGUUGCCAUCUUCUCCGGAUGGCAUUUAAUUAAUUGCAGAAAUCAAAUAAAUAAGAUAGUGGGCGUGUCCUACAGUUCUAAACAGCAUUAAUUUCUGAAUCAUAAAAAU
ensembl:lncRNA